rnacentral:rRNA from 1 species
UGAGUAACCUGCCCUUGACUCUGGGAUAAGCGCUAGAAAUGGCGUCUAAUACCGGAUACGAGCUUCAGCCGCAUGGCUAGGAGUUGGAAAGAAUUUUGGUCAAGGAUGGACUCGCGGCCUAUCAGCUAGUUGGUGAGGUAAUGGCUCACCAAGGCGACGACGGGUAGCCGGCCUGAGAGGGUGACCGGCCACACUGGGACUGAGACACGGCCCAGACUCCUACGGGAGGCAGCAGUGGGGAAUAUUGCACAAUGGGGCGAAAGCCUGAUGCAGCAACGCCGCGUGAGGGAUGACGGCCUUCGGGUUGUAAACCUCUUUUAGUAGGGAAGAAGCGAAAGUGACGGUACCUGCAGAAAAAGCACCGGCUAACUACGUGCCAGCAGCCGCGGUAAUACGUAGGGUGCAAGCGUUGUCCGGAAUUAUUGGGCGUAAAGAGCUCGUAGGCGGUUUGUCGCGUCUGCUGUGAAAUCUGGGGGCUCAACCCCCAGCCUGCAGUGGGUACGGGCAGACUAGAGUGCGGUAGGGGAGAUUGGAAUUCCUGGUGUAGCGGUGGAAUGCGCAGAUAUCAGGAGGAACACCGAUGGCGAAGGCAGAUCUCUGGGCCGUAACUGACGCUGAGGAGCGAAAGCAUGGGGAGCGAACAGGAUUAGAUACCCUGGUAGUCCAUGCCGUAAACGUUGGGAACUAGAUGUGGGGGCCAUUCCACGGUCUCCGUGUCGCAGCUAACGCAUUAAGUUCCCGCCUGGGGAGUACGGCCGCAAGGCUAAAACUCAAAGGAAUUGACGGGGGCCCGCACAAGCGGCGGAGCAUGCGGAUUAAUUCGAUGCAACGCGAAGAACCUUACCAAGGCUUGACAUAUACCGGAAACGUCCAGAGAUGGUCGCCCCGCAAGGUCGGUAUACAGGUGGUGCAUGGUUGUCGUCAGCUCGUGUCGUGAGAUGUUGGGUUAAGUCCCGCAACGAGCGCAACCCUCGUUCUAUGUUGCCAGCACGUUAUGGUGGGAACUCAUAGGAGACUGCCGGGGUCAACUCGGAGGAAGGUGGGGAUGACGUCAAAUCAUCAUGCCCCUUAUGUCUUGGGCUUCACGCAUGCUACAAUGGCCGGUACAAAGGGCUGCGAUACCGUAAGGUGGAGCGAAUCCCAAAAAGCCGGUCUCAGUUCGGAUUGAGGUCUGCAACUCGACCUCAUGAAGUCGGAGUCGCUAGUAAUCGCAGAUCAGCAACGCUGCGGUGAAUACGUUCCCGGGCCUUGUACACACCGCCCGUCAAGU